CGGUCUGUCGCGUCUGCUGUGAAAACCCGAGGCUCAACCUCGGGCCUGCAGUGGGUACGGGCAGACUAGAGUGUGGUAGGGGAGACUGGAAUUCCUGGUGUAGCGGUGGAAUGCGCAGAUAUCAGGAGGAACACCAAUGGCGAAGGCAGGUCUCUGGGCCACUACUGACGCUGAGGAGCGAAAGCAUGGGGAGGCGAACAGGAUUAGAUACCCUGGUAGUCCAUGCCGUAAACGGUGGGCACUAGAUGUGGGGCUCUUUCCAUGAGUUCCGCGUCGCAGCUAACGCAUUAAGUGCCCCGCCUGGGGAGUACGGCCGCAAGGCUAAAACUCAAAGGAAUUGACGGGGGCCCGCACAAGCGGCGGAGCAUGCGGAUUAAUUCGAUGCAACGCGAAGAACCUUACCAAGGCUUGACAUAUACCCUCUAUCCCUAGAGAUAGGGAGUCCUUCGGGGGGGUAUACAGGUGGUGCAUGGUUGUCGUCAGCUCGUGUCGUGAGAUGUUGGGUUAAGUCCCGCAACGAGCGCAACCCUCGUCCUAUGUUGCCAGCACGUAAUGGUGGGGACUCAUAGGAGACUGCCGGGGUCAACUCGGAGGAAGGUGGGGAUGACGUCAAAUCAUCAUGCCCCUUAUGUCUUGGGCUUCACGCAUGCUACAAUGGCCGGUACAAUGGGCUGCGAUACCGUAAGGUGGAGCGAAUCCCAAAAAGCCGGUCUCAGUUCGGAUUGAGGUCUGCAACUCGACCUCAUGAAGUUGGAGUCGCUAGU
rnacentral:rRNA from 1 species